UGAGAGAGAAGAGAACAAGGAAGAAAGCAAGAAAACAGAAGAAAAGAAAAGAAAAGAAGAAGAAGAGGGAGACGGGAAGUCAGCACAGGUGCAUGAUGGUCGAUUUGAACAGAAAUCGAGUAAACUGAUCAUUCCAGAAUCGGCAACAAGAUGGAGCUAUUAGGACAAAAGUAAGCUCUUGGUUAGAUGAUACCCACAAUUGUGCAUUCGACCAACUGCGAGUUGUCAAAGUAAGCGACUUUUCCGGCAUGAAAGCUGAACUAGCACUCAUCAGGUGAUGUCUUCUGUGGAGUUGGUCCAAUAGCUAUCUCUGCAGCAUAGAUUGUAGGACGAGUUUAUGCUGCUAAAUAUCUGCAAGGAAAUAGUGGUCUCAACAACCUCGAUAGGAAGAUUAAGGUACAUGCAAGAUUAUCUUCCCUGUCAGUGCUUCUACUCCUGCUGAAUU